rnacentral:lncRNA from 1 species
UUUUGCAAUAGCAUCUUGACCAGCCUUGCGAUAAUCAUAUGGACACUCAUGCUUGUCCGAGUAACGAUGGGCUGAGCAGAAAAGAUUCCCACAUCGGCAAUUGAAGCCGGUCAAACCAACUCGUUUCCUGCAGGUGCUGCACCUUUUUGGUCCCUGCUUAGCCUUCUCAACUUCUUUGCUCUCGGGUGGACAUGCAACUUGUGUGGGUACAACCAGGGACUCUGCAGGACCUUUCUGCACGGUUGCAGCAACAUCAAUGGCUUUCACACUAGUGCUUGAACUUCCAUUCACAAAGCUUUCAAUAGAUGAAGCGGCAAAGUUAGCUUGUUCUUGCUUAAACAUCAUAUCCUUGUAGCACUUUGAGCACAAGUUCAUUGUAGCUGCAGUUCCAAAAAACCCACAAUUGUUGACACAAAGGACAGGAGCUUGAGGAGCUUGAGGAGCUUGGCAGCCUGUAUCAUUUUGCUCCAUAUUGAAUUUUCCUGCAACAAAUGGACUACGUUAACUAGCCAUUGUAGCAACAGCCGGAUAUGAUUCUCCCCAAUCAUUUUACCCCGCUAUUGAUCAGUAUGUGCUCUCAUAGAAAAUAAGCUGAUUGGAUUUAGCCAAUAUUCAGCUAAAGGCCAUUGGCAAAUAUUGACCGAGCCACUAGCAUCAGAAUUGUCUAGAAUAGCAGGUUAUACUGGAAAGAACAAACUCACGAUUUCCUUGAGAGGCAAUUGCCACAAUUUACUAUUGCAAUUCAUCCACUGAUACAUGAUUAUAGACUGCAUUCACAAAACAACAACAUACCCAGUAUGGGACUACAGGAGGCGUCAAGGCAGGGUAGAGUGUACACGAACCUUACCCAUACCUUGUGGAGGAGAGCAUUCACAAAAUGUAUAAAAUGAAUUAAUUAAAUCAGUUUCCGUAUUACUAGGCAUCAUAGGGGGGAGGCAAGCUGCAAAAAAGACCUCGAAAAAAUGGAAACUGGAAACUCAAGAUGCCACACUGAGCAAGCUAUUCCAUAUUGGUGAAUCCUGACGGUAUGAAAACCAACACAUAGCUACCUGCCAGUUAAGCAUCAUAACCAAUAUACCUAAUAACUUCAUUAUCCAUGGAUUGACGCUAGAUUUUGUCAACCAACUGAAUCAUGCCUUUUCAAAGACUGCCACCAACACUAACACAACCAUAAUCCCAUCUAGAAAGAAUUCACUAACUUUGGCAUAAAAUUCUAGUAUUCUACCACAGCUAAAUCCACCUACACAGCAGAUCAACUUUUGGAAGCCAAAAAAUAGAGAAGCAGAGGGGUCCAAGAUAAAAUCUUCAAAGAGGUCAAACAGACGAGUGAUCAAGCCAAGUACUUGUAAGAGUCGUGUAAGAUAUGCAUGGUCAGAAUGCAGAAGGUUGAAGUGAAUUUCACAUGACAGGAAGCAUCAAAAGGAAGUUGGAACUAAGGAGAUCGACAAAGUAAAUAAUGACUCACAGCUGAAGGCAGUGCCGCCACCCUGGAAAAUGCUGGAAACAGACAGAUGUUUUUACGAGGUAGUGAACUGAAAAACAAUCAAACUUAACAGGAAGCAUCAAAAGAAAGUAGGAACUAAGGAGAACGACAAAGUAAAUAAUGACUGAGAGCUGAAGGCAGUGCCACCCUGGAAAAUGCUAAAAAUAGAUGGAUGUGUUUAGGAGGUAGUAAUUGAAAAGCAAUCAAACUAAGCUCAGCUACAGAGCAUCAGAGAGCUUUGGCAAAAAAAGAGACAACAUAUCUCCAUUAGAACACACUAGAAAACAAGGGUUUCAACAUAAACAAAGAGUAAGACGGAAUACGUGCAUUACAAGUUUAGUCAUCUUCUAAAGAAUAUGAUGAUCAAGUGGAAAUUAUACAGCUCAAAGAUAUGUGAUGUGAAUAAGAUGACAAAAAUGGAAGAAGUAUACGGGAAUUCUAUGGAAUAUGAAGUGUAUCAAAUAAAUUGAAAGGCUAGCAAAAGAGCCUCUAAAACCAACAACAAUAGAUAGAUGGGAUGUUUGGCCUCUGAGACCCAUGUCAGAAUAGAUGUUGCGUAAUACAAAUACAUGAUUGAACAAGAUCAGAAAUGUUCACCUCCUGCGCAUGAGAUGCAAGCACCACACAAAGGAUAACAUGAAAGAAUAUCCUCUCGAGAUGGUUUGAUCAUACUAUGCAGGAUUCCUUAUGCACACAUACUCCAAAGCAAAAUACUAUGAGGUGCUACGAAGGAACACACAAACAUAAGAACAAAGAGAAGAAAAUUAUAUCAAAGAACCUACAGUUCCUCCGGAUAAGCACAGACUUAACAGAAACUGGAACCCAAUAGAGCAGAAAAUGAAUAUUGGUGAGAACAACUUAUUUGGAAUUCAAGCAUAAUUAAGAGUCACAAUUAGAGUGGGUGCCUGUCAAGAGUCUUUCUUAUACACUUCCAAUUCUGUACAAACUUGAUUGUUUGUGUAGAGAUAAAGAUUAAACCAACUCUUAACGUAGCAAAUCCAUAAUUUUACUUUAGAAAGAAAAUUAUUUUAGUAUAAAAAAAAGUAUCUUGCAUAGAUCAUCACACAUACAACAGAACCACUUUGGAAUGGUGUAGUAGAUUGAUAUGAACGAACCAAACUCAAAAAUUAGGAUACUAUCGAAAGGGAUCUCAUCACUUAUUAAUUCGAAGAUUGUAAAACUCAGACAAUAAAUCGAGUCUCAUAACCGUCCAUCAAUUUUUCACAAAUUGAAAAUAAAAUUUCGAAACUUUUAUAUGUUUACCUUCCCUAAACCUUAUAAUUGCUAGAUAAUUUAAGAAUUUUAAGCUAAAGGAUCUCUAUUCAUCUCAGCUCUUACAAAUCAAUAAAACAUAACACAUAGUAAGCGAACAAGCAUAUUAUUUUCAUUUGGUUGGCUAGAAUUCAAAUAUAUCGAUUAAUGUCAGUGUUUGUCACUGCUGAGCUCAAAACUGAACUGACCAAUAUUACAAAAGCUGGCUAAAAAGUCAGCACCACAGAAGCCCCAAGCACCUCAAAUCAAAAAACUCACAAUUAACCCCCACCCACACAGACACACACAAAGACCACCACCAAAAUUCACUUUGAAACAAAAUAAAAGUAAGUACCACGCUCACCUGUUCGCUGAAGACACAACACAAUCCGACCUUUAGAAAAUUUUCAGCUCCUGUCCUUUCAAAAAACCAACAAACAGACAGAUUAAAUCACACGAAUAUACACCACCUUAAGAAUCACAAAAAAUAACAACACCACAAACCCAAAUAAGAAAAAACAACAGAAGAUCAAAAAUCUAAAAGGAUAUUCAAAUUUUGCUUAAUUAAACAAGCAAACGUGUUUAGUGUAACUAAACCCCUUCAAGAAUUUCAAAGAAAAACAACACAAAACCAAAAUUAAAAAAAACAGAUCAAAAAGCUAAAACGGUAUGCAAAUUUUACAUAUAAUUAAAAAAAACAAACAUAUUAAAUCACACUAAACCUCUUCAAUAAUUUCAAAAAAAUAACAACAAAAAAAAGAUCAAAAAAGCCAAAAGGGUUUUUAAAUUUGACAAAAUUAAAUAAACAAACGUAUUAAAUCACACUAAACAAUAUACUGCUUCUAUUAAAUCACACUAACACUAUACCACUUCAAUAAUUUCAAAAAAUAACAACACCAAAAAAAAAAAAAAAAACCAAAAAAAAAAAAAAAAAACUCAAACAACAGAUCAAAAAGGCCAAAACGGUAUUCAAAUUUAGCAAAACUAAACAACCCCAGUUAUAAAAAGAAAACCAAAAACAAUCAAUGAGAAAAAAAACUAACCCUAGAAGCGAACAGGAGAAAGUCUCGGAGAAGCCAAAGAAGAAACUAGAGAAAGAGAAAAAGAAAAUUAUUAUUAGUGUUAUAUAGACUGAAAAAGCAGAAUUGUACUUUAAGGUUUGUACGACGUGUCGAAUUUUUAUUGGUUAUAACAAAGAUUUUGGUAGCAGAUAACCAAUUGAAAAAUGGAGUGUAUGUUAAGGCGGUGAGGGUGAGUACAGGUGAUUGUAGCAGAAAAGUUUUACGUGUUCACGCAUGUUGGGCUUUGGUUUAGUUUAGUGGACUAUUUAGAAAUAAUUAUAAUUAUGAUUUGAAACGUGGCAUGUUAUGUGCUGUUGAUCAGCCUCUAACCGACUUGUGUAUAAUCGAAUUCAAAUUAUUAAUGGGAAUAAAAAAAAAUUUACUAUUGUGCUUUUAUUGGUUCUUAGUCUGGAAAUGGGUGGGGUUGAUGAGGAUAUUUCAACCUGAUCCAUAAUUAUUUCAUUAGUAAAUAGGGAAAAGACAUAAAUAACAUUUUGAAUUAAAUUAUUAAUAUAAAAAUAAUUAUUAAAUUUUAAUUUUAUUUUUAAUUAUUUAUUGACAGUUUUAUCUUAUAUCUCAUACAAAUAUGUAUUUCAUAUAAUAAAAAUAUAAUUUUUAUAUGCAUAUACAUAAUACAAAUUUUAUGCAAAUUACUGUCUUUCUACAUCCAUGUCAACAUGAUUUUAAGUUUGAAUGGGUGAAUUGGCAACUCCAUUGGUGUAAGGGCUAUGGAUAUAUUAGGUGUAAUUUUUUAACGGUAGGAGAGUAUAAUUGAUCCAUUUACCUCUACCUCUAUGAGGUAGAAAAGUUAUCUUCAAUAGAUAAAGCUCUAAACAAAAAUAAUCUUUAUACCUUGGGAUGAGAAACAUUUGUUCAAGAACUACUGCACUUUUCAGAACAUAAAAAAAAAAAAAUCAUCUAUGCUUCUAAUUCAUAAAAUUCAUUGUAUAUACUUUACUUCAAUGUGGCAUGUAGGAGACAAAAGGAAGGCUUUCUACUUUCUCUUAUUUCCUUUAUUCUUGAAAUUUACCUUAGUCAUGUGCUGAAUUUUUAUGUAUUUCAAGAUCACCUGAAUAGUCAUAGUCUCUAUCGUAUAUUUGUGUUAUACUGAGCCUCCAGUUAUCUAUCUUGUGCAUGUAUAAUAUCACCAUUUUAAUCUCAUAUACAAAAUUUCAUGGAGCUUCCCCUUCAUCAUUGCUAACUUUUAUCAAUCAAGCUUCAAGGGAUAUCUAUACGACCCCACCCGCCUUUACAGCUGUCUGAUGUUUACUUAUUGCUUCUAUAAUUCCUUGAGUACAAUAGCAACCACAACAUAAAAUAUGUUCUUAGAUUUCUAAUCGUGCCUUUGAUGUAUCAUACAACAUCUAAUCUCAUUCCUCCCUUACACUUAUAAGUGGCAUAAAGUGAUCAUAUAGCUAAGUGUUUAUUGGAGCUUCCAUGGGAAACUUCAGAAAAACUUGGCAGAUAAUUAAUGCACUUUAAAUAGUACUCCAGCAAAGGGGUCACUUGCUUAUAACAAAUGCAUAGCCAUGCUUUGUAUAUAGAACAUGUUUUAUCAAUGUAGUUCUCCUUUCCACUAUUAAUAAUUUUUCUAUUCAUGAGCUUAAUUUAUUCUGGAUUUUAUCAAUUAUCUCCUUCUAAUGCAUAUGUCUCUUUUUUCCAUAAAACGCUGGAACCUCAAAAUAAGUGAAAGGAAAAUCCUUUCUUAGGAUAGUUGUCCCUGUCCAUACCAGAUCAACGAUGACCUGUGUUGUCUGAUCAUGUAAGUUUGUGGCAUUUUUGUUUUUGUUGAUCUUUUGUCUACUAACUUAUUCACAUCCCAUUAAUAUAUUUAUUACCAACUUUAAUAUGUUUAUUACCAACUUCAAUGAUAUAGUGUAUCAUCUGAAUAAGCUAAAUGAUAUAUGUAUGAAUAUAUAUACCGAAAGUUGUUUCUACGGCUUGAACUUGUGACCUCCUAAUGAAUUUUACAUCAUAAUAGAUUUCUAAUAAUUACUCUGCCCACACCAGAAAGCUCAUGUACUGCAGUGGUCAAACCAGUAAGAGGUGAAAUACUUCUUUUGAAAUUUUCCUCAUAAUUCUGAGACACUCCAAAACAUCCAACCAUACCAUCUUCGGCAAAUUUUGAGUUCCCUUUAGUCAAGGCUUCAAUUGCUUCAGGCAAACUUACUGUCAAAAUUAUCUUAUAUGACAAAGCACACUCCUUUAAAGGAACUCUCCAUGCUUUCGGAGGACUCGAAAUACGAAGCAUCGAGAUGAUUUCGGAUGCUUAAUUCGCCUUUGCUUUGAUGGCAACCACCACGAUCAGCGCCAAUGUUGUUAUGUCACCGCUGGUGCUGUGCUUGUCGAACAACAAAGUUUUUACACAGAGGUUGUAGUUUGGUGUGUUCUUGUAUGUAGUUUCUACUAGAUUGUUGUUAUUGUGGUUGCAUCAGUAACAUAACUAGAUAUAUCAUCACAGUCUUUACUUUGGAAUUCAAAAAGGAGAAGCUCAGCUUACUUUUCUCUAGAUGUUGUGAAAGCUUAGGUUACAAGUACACCUUUUAUAUUUUUCCUUCACUUUUACUUGUUCACUAUACUAAAGUUAGAUAUGUAAAUUUUUUUGAUAAUCGGAGUAAAACAAACUACAAAUGUCUAACUUUUAGUUUGUACCAAAUGUUAACUCACUAUUGUUCACAUUUUAUCAUUUUAUUCCAGCUAUCAGUUUGUGUCGUGUUGGUUGUUGUUCUUAUAUGUGAUCAAUCAUCUUCACUUUGGUAAGUCUCACAUUUCUUGGUGCUUUAAUCUCUCUUUCAUUUUUGCAUAACUUUUGUCAUGUUACACUCAUUUUACCAUAUAUAUAUUUGAUUGAUGCAUAACUUUGUUGUACUUUGUUUUUAAUCCUAUUGUGUAAGUAAAUACUUUCUUUGUAGGCAUUUAAAGAAAAAA